UACGUAGGGCGCAAGCGUUGUCCGGAAUUAUUGGGCGUAAAGAGCUCGUAGGCGGCUUGUCGCGUCGGUUGUGAAAGCCCGGAGCUCAACUCCGGGUCUGCAGUCGAUACGGGCAGGCUAGAGUGUGGUAGGGGAGAUCGGAAUUCCUGGUGUAGCGGUGAAAUGCGCAGAUAUCAGGAGGAACACCGGUGGCGAAGGCGGAUCUCUGGGCCAUUACUGACGCUGAGGAGCGAAAGCGUGGGGAGCGAACAGG
rnacentral:rRNA from 1 species